AUUGAACUUUGGCGGCAGGCUUAACACAUGCAAGUCGAACGAUGAUUAUCUAGCUUGCUAGAUAUGAUUAGUGGCGGACGGGUGAGUAACAUUUAGGAAUCUGCCUAGUAGUGGGGGAUAGCUCGGGGAAACUCGAAUUAAUACCGCAUACGACCUACGGGUGAAAGGGGGCGCAAGCUCUUGCUAUUAGAUGAGCCUAAAUCAGAUUAGCUAGUUGGUGGGGUAAAGGCCCACCAAGGCGACGAUCUGUAACUGGUCUGAGAGGAUGAUCAGUCACACCGGAACUGAGACACGGUCCGGACUCCUACGGGAGGCAGCAGUGGGGAAUAUUGGACAAUGGGGGCAACCCUGAUCCAGCCAUGCCGCGUGUGUGAAGAAGGCCUUUUGGUUGUAAAGCACUUUAAGCAGGGAGGAGAGGCUAAUGGUUAAUACCCAUUAGAUUAGACGUUACCUGCAGAAUAAGCACCGGCUAACUCUGUGCCAGCAGCCGCGGUAAUACAGAGGGUGCGAGCGUUAAUCCGAAUUACUGGGCGUAAAGCGAGUGUAGGUGGCUCAUUAAGUCACAUGUGAAAUCCCCGGGCUUAACCUGGGAACUGCAUGUGAUACUGGUGGUGCUAGAAUAUGUGUAGAGGGAAGUAGAAUUCCAGGUGUAGCGGUGAAAUGCGUAGAGAUCUGGAGGAAUACCGAUGGCGAAGGCAGCUUCCUGGCAUAAUAUUGACACUGAGAUUCGAAAGCGUGGGUAGCAAACAGGAUUAGAUACCCUGGUAGUCCACGCCGUAAACGAUGUCUACUAGCCGUUGGGGUCCUUGAGACUUUAGUGGCGCAGUUAACGCGAUAAGUAGACCGCCUGGGGAGUACGGCCGCAAGGUUAAAACUCAAAUGAAUUGACGGGGGCCCGCACAAGCGGUGGAGCAUGUGGUUUAAUUCGAUGCAACGCGAAGAACCUUACCUGGUCUUGACAUAGUGAGAAUCCUGCAGAGAUGCGGGAGUGCCUUCGGGAAUUCACAUACAGGUGCUGCAUGGCUGUCGUCAGCUCGUGUCGUGAGAUGUUGGGUUAAGUCCCGCAACGAGCGCAACCCUUUUCCUUAUUUGCCAGCGGGUUAAGCCGGGAACUUUAAGGAUACUGCCAGUGACAAACUGGAGGAAGGCGGGGACGACGUCAAGUCAUCAUGGCCCUUACGACCAGGGCUACACACGUGCUACAAUGGUAGGUACAGAGGGUUGCUACACAGCGAUGUGAUGCUAAUCUCAAAAAGCCUAUCGUAGUCCGGAUUGGAGUCUGCAACUCGACCCCAUGAAGUCGGAAUCGCUAGUAAUCGCAGAUCAGAAUGCUGCGGUGAAUACGUUCCCGGGCCU
rnacentral:rRNA from 1 species